rnacentral:tRNA from 2 species
GCCCGGGUGGUGGAAGAGGCAGACACGGCCGCCUUAAAAGCGGCUGCCGAAAGGCGUGCGGGUUCGAGCCCCGCUCCGGGCACC